AGCCUGAACGCUGGCGGCGUGGCUAAGACAUGCAAGUCGUACGGGGUCCGCAAGGAUCCAGUGGCGAACGGGUGAGUAAAGUAUCGCUAACGUACCCCUAUGUCCGGGAUAGCUGGGGGAAACUCCAGGUAAUACCGGGUGACAUCACUUUCUCGCAUGAGAAGGUGCUCAAAGGGAAACCGCAAAGGGAGCGGGCGAUAUCGUAUCAGCUAGUUGGUGAGGUAACGGCUCACCAAGGCUAUGACGCGUAGCCGGACUGAGAGGUCGGACGGCCACAUUGGGACUGAGACACUGCCCAGACUCCUACGGGGGGCUGCAGUAACGAAUCUUCCGCAAUGCACGCAAGUGUGACGGAGCGACGCCGCGUGUGGGACGAAGUCCUUCGGGAUGUAAACCACUGUCAGGGGUUACCAAGUUCUGACGGAACCCCAGAGGAAGGCACGGCUAACUCUGCGCCAGCAGCCGC
rnacentral:rRNA from 1 species